UUAUCGACAAAACGACAGAGAACACUCGAACUCUUCUUCUAGCUGCUCCGGCGAAAAGCACACAAAUUGGGUGGGGCUCCAAACUGGCGGAGAGUGCAGUGUGAGUCCGCGAGUGGAAUAAGGUGAAGCUGUUAUUGACAAUGUCUCCGUGGGUCAGCGCGUGAUCCCUCUUUUGGGGGUUCUGCAUCCUCUUCGAUCUGCUGCAACUGAGGAGGUAUGGGGGUAGUAACAUUCGGAGUCAUAAUCGCCAUUAUCGUGCUGUUCUUCGCCGCAGUCUGUGUAAUGACGAUCGAAGGGACCUGCAAGCGCCGGCCCUCUUGAAAGCUCUUCCAAGAUCAUGCUGAACUCAAUACCUGGCUCAACAGUAGUUGGUCCUAUUUCACAGAGAAGGAAGAAGAAGAAGAAUAUGAUGAACAAGAUGGGCCAUCAUGGGCGGCAGCAGCAGACACAAAGAUUUCAAUUACUUGCAUUUAUCUUCUUAUUAUGUUUGGAUCUGAGUUUGGGUCAUGAGGACGCCCAUCACCAUCACCAUCAUCACUGUUCACAUGAUCAUGACCAUCACGUGCAUGAGGUAGCACAACAGAAGCUGCCAGAAGAAUUGGCUGAGGAGGAGGAUCUGAAGCUGUAUGGAUUCGACUCUCAUCAUGGGCACCACCAUAGCCAUGAUGGGGGCCAUGACCACGAGCAUGUCGGUCGGCUGCAUCAUUCUGGUGAUUCUGAUCUCCCCAAGUUAGCUCUUUGGGUGCAUGCUUUGGGCUGCUCCUUUCUGGUUAGCAUGGCGUCUCUUAUUUGUCUCAUUAUUCUGCCACUAAUUUUUGUACAAGGGAAACCAUCCAAGGCGAUUGUCGAUUCAUUGGCUUUAUUUGGGGCCGGAGCGAUGUUAGGGGAUGCAUUUCUUCACCAACUACCACAUGCUUUUGGCGGAGAGCAUUCUCACUCACAUGAUCAUCAUGUUGAUCAUUUGCAUGAGUCAACUUCCAGACAUGGACAUGUUCACACUUUGAAAGAUCUUUCUGUUGGAAUCUCAGUUUUGUCUGGAAUUGUGCUAUUUCUUCUUGUAGAGAAGCUGGUGAGGUAUGUUGACAAUCAUUCUCAAGGGGCUGGUGAAUGGAAUCAUGGUCAUCAUCACCAUCAUCAUCAUCAUAGCAAGAAUAGUAAUAAGAAGCUGGAUGAUGUGAAAAAUGUUGGGGACAAUGUUCAGUCAAAAUCAUCUGAUGGAAAUGGAAUGUCGUCAGAGAUGCGAUCUCAUGACUCUUCAGACGGAAGGAAUUCAACUGAACCUAGUUCUCUUCGAAAGAGAAAGGUUACUGAUGGAGCUACAGGCGCUACAGACACAGCCACUGGUGAAGUUGCUAAUAGUGGAUCCUCCAAAAAUAUGAUAUCUUCCAAAGAAGAGGAGCCAUCGCAAUCAUCAUCAAAUCUUGUGUUUGGUUAUCUCAAUCUUUUCUCUGACGGUGUACACAAUUUCACUGAUGGAAUGGCUCUAGGAAGCGCAUUUCUUCUGUAUGGAUCUGUUGGUGGAUGGUCUAGGACCCUAUUUUUGCUCGCCCAUGAGCUUCCUCAAGAGGUUGGUGAUUUUGGUAUCUUAGUACGAUCGGGGUUUAGCGUAUCCAAGGCCCUCUUCUUCAAUUUUCUCUCUGCACUUGUUGCAUUAGGAGGGACUGCUCUUUCACUGCUUUGGGGUCAAGAUCCAGGACAGUCUUCCCUGAUCGAGGGAUUUACCGCUGGGGGAUUUAUAUACAUAGCAGUUGCAGGUGUGCUUGCAGAAAUGAAUAAUAAUGGAAGCUCAUCGAUAAAGAGCAGUUUGGCUCAGUUGACUUCGCUUAUACUCGUAUUCAUGCGAAAACGUAGUUCUGAUAUAAAGGACUGGGGUUGCUUUAUUCGCUAAUCAAUGGCCGUUGGAUCAACAUGGGGUCUACUCCCAGUCCCAGGCAUUAAUCCGAUGGCCAUGGGAACAUCGUGAGCCAUUCGUAAUCAGAGGACACACGCAUGGGACAUUCAAUCGGCUGAUCUUCAUCAAACGGCGGCUCCCUUGGGUGUUCAAGCGGUCGGAAUUCUGUCUCAUUCCCGGCAGUACUCUCCACGUCCAUGGUGGUAUCUCCCUUAUUUCCAUUCAUGAUGGAACUUGACGCACUCUUUCACUCUGAUGUCAAAGCAUAAAAACAAAGCUGUCACUGAGACGGAGGUUUGGGGUUCGGUAAGCCGAAAUUCGUGAGAAAAGGACGAGGAAGCUACUUACAGAGGCAUCUUCGCAUGAUGAUCCCAUGGGAGUAGGGAGAGGGAGACACUGAUAAAAGUUACAGCAGGAACCAUAUUUAAGGGUAUGAGCUAUAGAGAGAGAGUACGGAAAAGAAGAAAAGAAGGGAUAAAUCAAAGGAAGAGAAUUAAAGAGGAAGGACAUGGACAUGGGAAAUAGAGAUGGAUUUAGACUAAAGUCAUAUACUAUUAGUCUCUUUUAAAAUGUAUAAAAAUAGGGUUUAAGUGCCAAAGCAGUCCUCAGUGUGUGCAACAUCUUGGAUUUUCCUCCU